rnacentral:rRNA from 1 species
ACGAACGCUGGCGGCAUGCCUAACACAUGCAAGUCGAACGAAGGCUUCGGCCUUAGUGGCGCACGGGUGCGUAACGCGUGGGAAUCUGCCCUUUGGUUCGGAAUAACAGCUGGAAACGGCUGCUAAUACCGGAUGAUGACGAAAGUCCAAAGAUUUAUCGCCAGAGGAUGAGCCCGCGUUGGAUUAGGUAGUUGGUGGGGUAAAGGCCUACCAAGCCGACGAUCCAUAGCUGGUCUGAGAGGAUGAUCAGCCACACUGGGACUGAGACACGGCCCAGACUCCUACGGGAGGCAGCAGUGGGGAAUAUUGGACAAUGGGCGCAAGCCUGAUCCAGCAAUGCCGCGUGAGUGAUGAGGGCCCUAGGGUUGUAAAGCUCUUUUACCCGGGAAGAUAAUGACUGUACCGGGAGAAUAAGCCCCGGCUAACUCCGUG